GUGUCAGCCGCCGCGGUAAUACGUAGGUGGCAAGCGUUAUCCGGAAUUAUUGGGCGUAAAGGGUGCGUAGGCGGUUUAUUAAGUCUAUGGUGAAAGUGCGGGGCUCAACCCCGUAUGGCCAUAGAAACUGAUAGACUAGAGUGCAGGAGAGGGCAAUGGAAUUCCAUGUGUAGCGGUAAAAUGCGUAGAUAUAUGGAGGAACACCAGUGGCGAAGGCGGUUGCCUGGCCUGUAACUGACGCUGAAGCACGAAAGCGUGGGGAGCAAAUAGGAUUAGAUACCCGCGUAGUCC
rnacentral:rRNA from 1 species